UCUGUACCCAAUGUAGGGCUUGAACUCAUGACCCAGGUUCAAGAGUUGCAUGCUCUUCUGACUGAGCCAGUCACUCACCCCUUAAGAUUCAAAUCAUCUCUACACCUAAAGUGGGAUUCAAACUUAACACUUUGAGGUCAAGAGUUGCAUACUCUACCAAUUGAGCCAGGAAAGUGCCCCUCUUAGAAUUUCACUUUGGUUCUAUUUCAUCCAUUAGCUUACCUCUUCCGUUGGAGUAGGGCAUUAUCUUGAGUUUUCCCUAGAUCCUUCUCCUAUAACUGAAGGAAAGACGAAGAGCGGGGGUUGGCAGUAGAGUAGGGAAUAGACUGCAGUACAAUCAGAUCAGUGCAUCUCUUGGAAAGGGCUGAACUGCCUUGUGAUUAAAACGGUAAAAAGUUCUGGGCCAUUGGUUUGUAGGAGAGAAGUAGAUGGGGAGAGAAAGCCCUUUCUUCUUAGUGCAUGUGUAUUAAUAAUAGGUUAAGAAAGAACCAAUAUAAAAUGGCCCAAUUUAGCUUACACUAAGAAGAAUUAAUUUUUUUCUCUUACUUAACAGUUCUUUUUCUAGGAACAGAGAGUUGGGAGACGAGAAGGAGGGCCAGAAAGGCAGAGCCAGCUCUUCUUUCCUCAUUGGGCCUCUCGCCCACCCUGCAGCACGCCUGAGCGGAUGGAGGGAAGACCCAGUCCAUAAACAACACUUACGGCUUUGAUUUACAUGAUGGACUCAGUCAGGGUACGGUCUGUCCAUGAUUUCAUCCAGGGACAUCCAAUCCAAUCAUGUCCCCAUCUUGUCUCUUCAACGACAGCCAAGGGUCCUCAAGAAAAAAAACUCCAAACUUGUAGACUUGGUGAGAAAGCCCUGCAGGAUGUGGACCUCCACUCAGGUCUUCCAGGACACCCGCCCAAGGCCUCCUCUCGUCAGUGCCUUCGAUGAAGAGAUUCCUCUACCCGGUACGGCAUUCCUACCACAUCGCCUAGAUCCUACUCCUCCUCCUUCCAGCUUCACAUCAUGUGUCACAACCUGAAAAGUAUUCCCAGUCUGAUAUGAUUGUCCCUAAUUUUCUCUCCAUGGCAGGGCCUUACCUACAACCAUCUCCUCUAAAAAGAUACUCAUUUCUCUGGCCAUUCCACAGGCCAGGUUUCUAAAGAAGAAAACUUGCAGGGUUAUCAGUGAUUAAGGAUUUAAAUCAGCCCGUAAGUCCUCUGCAGGCUCCUGGUAAGACUGGCUCUUCCUUGCCUGAACACUGCCCAUUCAUUCAAGGGCCAGUAUUCAAGAAAACACCCAGAAAGAGCCCCAAGAGUUAAACUAUAAUCACACUUGGCCCCUCUCUACCAGACACAUCAUUCCCAAAAGGGGCUUGUGACUAAGACAAUCCCUUAUUUUGACCUACAAGGUCAAUAAUUCCAGCAUGCCUAGCAUCUUUCCAGACCCUAGCUACUUCCUAGAUUAUUCAAUGUUAUCUUUUAGUUCCUUCCACUGUUUUGGAGCAUCCUUUUUAUACAACCGAAAUAGCACUGACUCUGAAAGUUACCUAUUAUGCUUUAUCCAUCUAAACAUUAUAGUACUAUUUAAAAAUGUUUUAUUAAAAAUAUUUAGGGGUUCCUGGGGGGCUCAACUGGGUGAGCGACUGAUUUCAGCCUAGGUCAUGAUCUCGUCAUUCCUGAGUUUGGGCCCCACGUUGGCUCUAUGCUGAGAGCUCAGAGCCUGGAACCUGUUUCAGAUCCUGUCUCUCUCUCUCUCAAAAAUAAACAAACAUUAAAAAAGUUUUAUUUUUACUUUUAUUUUUUUUUAUGUUUUAUUUAUUUUUGAGAGCAACAGAGGCAGAGCAUGAGCAGGGGAAGGGCAGAGAGAGAGGCGGGGAGGCACAGAAUCUGAAGCAGGCUCCAGGCUCUGAGCUGUCAGUACAGAGCCUGAGGCGGGGCUUGAACUCACAGACUGUGAGAUCAUGACCUGAGCCAAAGUCAGAUGCUUAACUGACUGAACCACCCAGGCGCCCCCCAAAAAAUUUGUUUUAAAUAUUUAAAAUGCUGAGGAUUCUGUAUCCUAAUUGCAGUAGUGGUUAUAUAAAUCCACAUGUCAUAAAAUUUCAUAGUAACCCAAAAGAAUAAAUAAAAAUUAAAAAAUGAAUGUAUGUGAAAUCUGAGUUAGGUCUAUCUAUAGUUUUGUUCCUACUACCAUGCCAACAUCAAUUUCCUGGUUUUGACAAGUGUACUAAGAUUAGUUAAGAUGUAAUCAUUAGGGAAAGCUGGGUGAAGGGUACAGGGAAACUGUAUUUUUCUAACUCCUGAGUCUUAAAUUAUUUUGAAAUAAAAAGCUAAAAAGAAAUGGUAACAGUUUUAAAUAUGUAUGUCUAAUAACAGAGCCCCAAAGUACAUGAAGCAAACACAGAAUUGAAGAGAAAAACAGACAAUUCAACAAAUUAAGGACUUCAGUGCCCUACUUUCAAUAACGGAUAGCUCAACUAGC
rnacentral:lncRNA from 1 species